CACACAAAAAAAAAAAAAAAAAAAAAAAAAGAAAAAAAAAGAAAAAAAAAAGUUGCUGGGAGAAGUUUCCCUCCUGCAAGGAAAAGGCGGUCGCGCCCCCCCCUCCCCCCCUAAGUCCAAAGACAAUCCAUGGAUGUGAUCGGCCCCUUCACAAGUUGUGCAAACGAUUUGUUAGUUCAUGAGCCUAAUUAGUGCUGGGAUCACAUAAACAGCUUCCUCUGAAGCCUGGUAAAUGGCUUGAUGAUUGGUCGCUAUUACUCGCCUUGAGGUUGAAGGGGGAGACUCUUUAAAGUGCGUCAGAGGGGAGGCGAGCGCCGGGCAGCGCCAUCGGGAGGGAUGGAGCCGCGGAUCGGAGUGCGGCGGGAGCGCGCCCGCCAGCGCGGGGGGAGCGCGCCGAGCCGCGCCGCCGCCCCCGCCCCGCUGCGCGCCCCUCCGCAGCCGCGCUGCCCUCCCUCCCCUGCCGCCGCUCGGCGACCAAGACAUCCUGACAUAAUCACGGGGCUCCUUUGAAAACUGCAUCGAGUAAUUUAGCACUUGGGGAGGGAGGAAUUAUAUCCGUUUGAAAAGAAACCUCACACACGCAGAACAUCCAAAACGAUCGAUAAAUUUCCCUCGACCUCCUUUACCGCCGGCGAAAUAUCCUCUAGCCCAAAAUCCCUCUCGGAAGGGAGGUCCCGUUGUUUUGGAGCUGAACGGAGCAGGCUACGCUUGCAGCGGGGAGCUCUCCACGGCCAAGUCCGAUUUUUUUUCGGGAAAAGCGAAUGAUCUCGCCCAGGUCUGAGCCCUGCUCGCUCUCUGUGCUCUGCACAUUCGUACACAUGUCUGCGUGCAUGCUGUGUGAGUGUGCGGGGAUACAUCCAGGCAGAGGAACCGCAGGCAGAGCCUGGAGAACACGAGCUUUCCCUGGGUUUUGUCAGAGAUAAAACAGGCCGGGUACAGUGAGAACAAAAACCGACAGGACUCGGGAUGGGAUUUCUCAGAAUUUUCCUCUUCUCCCUAAAUUUUUGUCUCAUUCUCGCUCUGGUCGCCGUGGCCGCUUCUCGUGGGCGCCUCCCGCGCAGCCCCGGCCUCUGCUGGCCCGGCCGCGGCCGCUGAGCUGCAGCCCGGCCUGCCCCGGGAACACCUCCCGAAGCCCCUCUCUUGAACUUUCCCUGCCCAAGGUCGUGACAGGCUGCUCUCGCCGUCCUCUUGGCCUCUACACGGAGGAAAUCUGGCAGGGGCUCCCUUCCAGCCCUCCCCGAUCUGCUCCCGGCGCUCCGAGAGGCUGCCUCUCUCGGAGGGAGGGGUGCGCUGCGUUCGCAGUCGAAUUACGUGGCUGGCCUCAAAGGCACUGGCUCCGGAUUUCCAAACUAAUACCCAUCUUUUAAAAGACGAGCCAAGAAGAAAUUGAGAGGAAGGUCUCAGAUGCGGGGACCCCGGGGUAAGACAGUGAUUCACGGGCUAAACCAGGCUGAAUUUCCGCGGGUAUGGGGUUGGCGGUGAGGGAAGUUUCAGCCUCCUCUCAACUUUCUUUUCCAAGUGGGAUCUGUCUCUCCUUUUCCCCCUGUUGUCCCAGAGAUUCGUGCGCACAGCAGGGAGGAGAGGUGACCUAGACAGGUUGUGUCUGGCGUGGGGCUGAGUGAGUUAAAGGAGAGGGUAAAAUGCCUAAUUUAAUUCUUUUCUGGACGCCCUAAACCCUACUCAGUAUGUCUAACUGCGAGUCGUUCGCCAAAGCGCAGUGCUGGGCAGGAGUGACGGGCCGGGCCGGGCCGGGCCGGGCCGGGCCGGGCUCCCAGGACCGGGGCCGGGCUGCGAGGCUGCGGCAGAGCCCGGGGUGGGCACCGCGGCCCCCGCAGAGCAGGUGGAGCCCGUUCGCAGCCGGCCCCGGGCAGCCCCGCGUGGACAGGGCCUUGCUCCCCACUCACCCUGGGCUCCCGGGUGGGACGGACACAAGGGAUGCUUCCCAUGGACCUCCCCAUGGGGGAGACCAGCCCUGGAAAUCUCGUCCCUCUAUUUCGGUCCGGCACAGCCGGGUCAGGGCUGGAGCCGCCGGGAUCCCAUCUCAGCGGCAGAGGACCGGGACUAGGAGCAGGAAAAGGCCUUGCUGCCCGGAUUGCUCUCACCGAGCCGGGAACAGCGAUCGGGCAGGGUCGCUUUAGUUUUUCUCUUUUCGACGCUAGUUCAGGGCCGCUUCCCCUCUCGCUCCCGCACCAGCGCCGCCUGAGCUGCACGGCCCGGCCCCGCCGCUCUCCCGCGUACUUGUUUUCGUCCCGGGGGUGUCAGGCUCGCGGUUCCAACACAAUGUCACUGACACGGGACAUCUUCACCCCCGGUUUUACACGCGAAGCCCGCACCCAUCUGUGCCAGACCUUUUAAACACCAAUAUGUGCGGGGGAAGAGGGAAAAAAUACCCGCAGCUGCGUGCGGGCGCGGUGAGCAGCGCGGUGCGGACAGUGAGUGCGGCCGGGCCGGGAGCAUGCUGGCACUGGGGCUGGGACCGUGCCCGCACUCCUGCUGCAGUCUGCCCGCACUCCGGCCAGACCCUGCCCGCACUCCGGCCAGACCCUGCCCGCACUCUGGCUGGACCCUGCCCUCCCGCCGCCGCUCCCCGCGCUCCCGGCCCGGUCCCGCCGCUGCUCGGGGCCGCGGGCGCGCAUCCGCGGGGCGGCAGCGCCCCCUGCCGGCCUCCGCGCCCCUCCCGCCGCCCCCGGCCCCGCCGCCGGCAGCGGAUCCCGGGCGGGCCCGGCCGCUCCCGAGCUCCCCGAGCCCGUCACAAGCCGCCAGGAGCAUUACGGUCGCUUAAUGUGUCUAUUAAUAAAAGUAAUCAAGGCCUAAA